ensembl:lncRNA
CCACUGUGACGUCACAGAAGAAGCAACCUAUAACGAUGGUGUAAAAUUCCAGAGCUUCAGCUAUUUACUAUUUUUGAGCUGUGUGAUGGAUACACAGACUAACUUUGUCGAAGAAAUUGUUAGUGAAUCGGUGGAAAAUCUACCACUGCGCCCCACGCGGCAUGCGGCAGGAACUGCAGGGGCCGGAGCUGGUGUUUCCACACGUGAUGAUGGAGAGAGACCCGAAAACACCCCGCACACAUCUCUCACCCAAGAGAUCAACUUUACUCAUCCCGAUAUAUAAACCUGCACUGUACAAAAAAAACCUUGUGUAAGCACUGAGUUACAUCUCUAUACACACAGUUUCCGUUUGUCAACUUUAACCACACAGUUUAGUUUUGUCAUCUCCGUUUCUGUUGCGCGUAUAGACGACCAAACGUUGUUAUCCAGUUAUGCUAUUAAAAAAAGAAAGAAAACAAGUGUAUGUUCGCGAAUAACAUCACGAAGAACACUUUUCUGUUAGUCGACGUUAACCGCCGUUAAGACAUCAUGUUAUUCAACAUGAUAUCCACGAGAGCAGAGUGUUGCAGGUGCCAAUAUUAUUGGAGGGCACUGUAAUUAAUGUCUGUCAUUUAAUGUAAUAAUAAC